UGGUUGUCGUCAGCUCGUGUCGUGAGAUGUUGGGUUAAGUCCCGCAACGAGCGCAACCCUUGAUCUUAGUUGCCAGCAUUCAGUUGGGCACUCUAAGAUGACUGCCGGUGACAAACCGGAGGAAGGUGGGGAUGACGUCAAAUCAUCAUGCCCCUUAUGACCUGGGCUACACACGUGCUACAAUGGACGGUACAAAGGGCAGCGAGACCGCGAGGUUUAGCCAAUCCCAUAAAACCGUUCUCAGUUCGGAUUGUAGGCUGCAACUCGCCUACAUGAAGCUGGAAUCGCUAGUAAUCGCGGAUCAG
rnacentral:rRNA from 2 species